rnacentral:tmRNA from 1 species
GGGGGUGACUGGUUUCGACUUGGGACGGUAGUUCCAGGAGAAGCGGGCCGAGGAUCCAUGCUUAUCUCGUUAACGCUGCAUGGAAACCAAUAAGUGCCAACUCAAACCGCACUAACUUCGCUCUCGCUGCCUGAUCAGCGAUCGAAGGGUCAGCACGGGCGCGCCUUCCGCUCGUUUCCUGGCCUAAUCUAGAAGGCUUGCUGAGUAGCUUUGGUUUCUGGGGCUGCUCGGGACUCAACAGGAACUGGGCUCGUCUGCGACAUGCCGACGUGAGUGCAGGAGCCAAGCAGAACGCCUAGUCGGCUGCGCCCGGAGAAGAUCUGGUUCGCCUUUCGAGGACGCGGGUUCGAUUCCCGCCACCUCCACCA